CGCGCGGAGAGCUGAUUGUCGCGACCGUUGCCGUGCGGUCCUUGCGGACCCGCGUCCCUCUGCUCCACGGGCGAUGGAUGUGUCGAGGGGCUUCUUCGGCAAACUGCGCUCCCUGGCCCUCACGCUAGAGAGGGAGGCGAAGCAGCUGGAGCGGGCGCUGCGCGGGGAGGACGCGGACUAUGAAGAGGAAUCUCCGAUGAGGGUUUUGCACGACCUACACUGCGAAAUCAGGGCUCUGAAGGAAGAUGCUAAUGCUGCUCUUGGCAAGAGUUCCUCUGAAAGGCAAGAAAUUAAUGACUUUAUGAAGGCAAGUGAGAUACUGAUGCAAAGAAAUGCAGCGGAUCUUGCAAAAAUAAGAGAGCUAUUCCAGAAAUAUGGCUACAAACCACCCGUCGAAGUCCCUACAGAGGAGCAAGAAGAGGAGGCGAAUGGUGAUUUGAAGGCAUCUGACCAGAAUAAAUCUGAUCAGGGAGAAGCAGAUGCAGCACCUCCUCUUCCUGCCUGUGCUGAGAACCCUCCUGUGCCCGGAGACCCGCUGCGGAGCCCCCAGCUUUCUGAUUUCGGCCUAUCACAGUAUGCUUUCUCCAGGCCCUGGAGUGCAUUACAUGGACAACAACGUGCAGCAAAUGCCAGUCAAGAAAAUGCAAAGCACACAACUCCUCAGAAAACGCAGGCCGCCUGUGUUCUGCCCAAAACACCCAAAUGCAUGCUAAAGAUGGACGACUUUGAGUGCGUUACACCAAAACUGGAACACUUUGGCAUUAGUGAACACACCGUGUGCAUGAAUGAAGAUUACACCAUGGCACUUAUUCAUAAAACUGCCCAGUCAAACAACUUAGUUAAAAAAGGCGACGAUGAAGUGAAUGUAGCAAAAAAGCCACCCAGGGAAAUGGCAGUUACUCCUGAGCCAAAAACAAAAGCAGCAGAUGAGAGCGCAGCAGACUGUAUGGCUUCUCCUAUGAUACCCGUGUUCUGCACACCUGGUGUGAAAAUCCCUCCCCGAGCAGACAGUGCAGCGUUAGCCAAGUCACCAGAAAGAGACAAAGUGCCUCUUCCCAGCCAUGCAGCAACGCCACCACCUCCGGAUUUUGAAGCCAGGUGGAUGACAAGAGAACUCAUGGAAAUGCAAGAGGAGAAGAUCAUGUUGGUGACCAAAAACAAUGCAACAGAGAAACAAAACAUAGAAGACGGCAUUCCUUCUGCUGUGAGCUCUGAGGAGUACCUCAAACAUUUGGGGAACCCAUCUCCUCCCAAAAUAAAACAGUACGACCAUUUACUCAGCACUCCUCCACCUCCAGAAAUAACAAGGAUACCAGAUGAUGUACUACAGAUUCUGUCAAAGUAUAACCAUAAAGUGGACUCUUCUAUAUCUAAGAAAAUGGAGACUAAGGCAGGAGAUGCUGCAGGAUUUGGAAGUGAUUUCAGUUACUGCAACAAAGAGAACAGAUGCAGUGGUCUGUAGAGAAGUGCAAUUAAACUGUAACAGAAGGAAAGUCCAUUAUGCUGCCCAGGAAGCAGACAUCUGUAGGCAGUCUGCUAACUCUGCUUGCUUCAGGGCGGAGUUUGCAGUGCAGUGCUUGGACAUAUCUUCAACAGAACUCCUUUCUGUGUGACGACUAACUCCCGCCUUACUGCCUUAAAGUACCUCCAGGACAUCUGUCCCUUCUGCAGCACUGAGGCAUAUCAAACAGUUUCCCUCCCAGUGGAAAUCAGUAAUCUCAAAUUCAACUCUUGGCUGCGUGACUGCUACAUCAGAUGCACUGGAAGGAAAGUGGAGGAACGCGGCAACAACCCAGUGGCCUUACGUGUCAGCACAGGAAGGAAAACCGCUACAGCAUGGAUAUGUGGAGCUGCCUUUGCUGGGAACCCUGCGCCUGCAACGCUGAAGCACGGAGUUCACCGUCACAUGAUUUCCACGCGAACGAAAACUUCAGCUGAGCUCCUUGCCGCUGCCUCCGGCCAAACGACGAGAGAUUCGCCCUCCGACGCUCCGCCGCUUCG